UAUUGGUGUUGUUUAGCAUUCGGUGAAGUUAGGUAUGGGUUGCAAUUUCUAUCUCACUUCCGGUGGUGAUGGUUCCAAUGUCAAUUCUGUUGACAAAAACUUUAAUAUGUUAUUUUGAGUGCCACUUGGGGAUUAUUCUGAUACCUGGUGACGUUUUAAAUUAAAGUUCAAUUUUCAAAGCUUUUGUUGUGCUCUUUUGGGUCUAUGUUGCACAACUACAGCUCGAGAGUAAAAUCAAAAGUUAUCCUGGUUCAUUCACAGAAUUGGAUGGGGUGCGGGUGGGAUCCUGUCUCCAAAUAUCUCCUCUCCAGGAUUUCCCUCACACUGUCUAGUUGGAAAGAGCAUGUUUCCUUGGCCGGCUGGUCCAAAAAAGGCUACUCCAUGUUGCAUAACUCCCACAACUGUGGCCACCUCAAGCAAACUGAGGAGAAAGCAAGAAAAUGGGACUCACUCUCUCAAUGCUUUCUUGGUUGCACAGAUUUUUUUUUUUUUUACCGAAUUUCUCAGGCCAGAAGGAGGAGGUUUCUAUUGGAACCUACUUUUCGGUUCACCAUGUGGAAUUCACCGGGAGUGCAUUCUUGUCUACCAUGAGAAUAAAAAGAAUAUGACAAUUUCCCAUAUAUUUUCCACUUCAUAGAGGCAUAGAUCUUACUCAAGGUUUAUCUCCAUGUUGUAGAUGCCCAUGAUGCUGUCAGUUGGAAGCCUGUCAUGGUUCAAAACCAUGAGAGAAAAAAUGUGUGUGUGAAAGAACUCCAACAUGGGUCAUUUUUCUAUAUCUUGACUUGCUUCCCAAUCUAACUGCUUUGUUUGUUUUUCAGAGUCCCCAGGCAGUUGUUUUUGUGUUUUGAAUAGGCAAUUCAGUUGUAGUCAGUGGGAGUGGUGUUCUAAAUUGUACUUGCUCCAUCAUGGCUGUACCAGGAAAUUCAGGAAGGAUCUUCUAAGGAAGGAGUAAAUUAAACACCAAGAGAAACACCAGUCCUCCAGUGGCUUUCCCCUUCAAUCCACACUGACUGACAAUCCACUGUUGUGGCUAUACCCAACAGCUUGUGGUUAUUCAGCUCUCUGUUAUUGCCUGGGAUAGCAGUAGAAGACGGCCCAAGGACUUGGGUCAGGGCCCCUGCACCCGCAUGGGAGACCCGGAAGAAGCUCCUGGCUCCUGGCUUCGGAUCAGCACAGCUCCGGCCGUUGCAGCCAACUGGGGAGUGAAUCAGCAGAUGGAAGACCUCUCUCUCUGUAUCUACCUCUCUCUUUAACUCUGUCUUUCAAAUAAAUAAAAUAAAUCUUAAAAAAAAAGUUCUAUAGCCACAGAGAAUGAGAAUGGGAGAACAGGCCGUGGAGAAGAAGAGAUUUUUUGAAAGAGAGAAAAAGGCACAAUCCCACCAAGGACAUGCAGGGAGCAGAUGACAAUCUUUUAAAAACCAUGAUUAAUAUAAGAGAUAUAAUAAAUAUAUGUAAUAAAACAAAAUGUUAUAUACAAUAAAAUAUAAGCUAAAAAAGCAACUCACCCAUCAAAUAGGGAACAAAAUGUCUUAUGAGAAAUGGAGAUGAGAUGGGUAUAAUAAAAUCAACAUUGGGGCCUGGCAUGUGGUGCAGUGGGUUAAGUCACUGCCUGUGACACCAGCAUCCCAUAUGGGUGCUGGUUUGUAUCAUGGUCACUCCACUUUCAAUCCAGCUCCCUGCUAACAUGCAUGGAAAAGCAUCAGAAGAUGGUCCAGGGUCUUGGUGGAUGGAAGAUUCUCUCUCUCUGUCUUUCUUUCUUUCUUUCUCUCUCUCUCCCUCUCAUCCUUUUUCCCCCUUUCUUUCUAUAACUCUUUUAAAUAAAUCAUUUUUUUUAAAAAAUUAAGAUUGUUUGAAAACCUAUAGACAGGAGUUAUUGUCCAAAUUCUCCAUUUCUUCCCUACAAUAUGAAUUCACUAAUUCCCUUUAUUAUCCCAGGAAAAAUAUCAGAAAUUUAGACACUGAGAAAAGCCGGUCAGAAAAAUCUGAGACUUGGGACACAACAACGAGUAAAGCUUGGAGCAGCAAUGGUGAGAUGUGUAGACUCCCACAGGAUCAGUGAUUCCCAGGGUUGUUUUAAGGAGGCCCGUAGUCAGGGUUUUCUUAGUGAGAUACCGAAACAGUUCUCCAGCAAAGUGAGGAAGCAAAUCAAGAUGGAACACACAAGAAGGGUGUCAGAACAGUUCCAUAACUAUUGGAAAGGGAAGUUCUAAGCAACAGCUUUUGCAGCAAGACCAGAAAGCAAAUGGGAGGAGAGCAAAGGGCUACUGGAAUGAGGUUUUCAAGCAAAGACAAUGGAAACACUAAGUGGUGUAUUUGACUGUACAAUAUAAGAGUGGGAAUAAGAGAGGGAGGAGAUGUACAAUUUGGGACACGCUCAAUCGGACUUGCCCCAAAUGGUAGAGUUAGAAAUGUGCCAAGGGAUUCCAAUUAAAUCCCAUCCAGGUGGCAUGUACCAAUGCCAUCUCACUAGUCAAAGUGAUCAGUUUCAGUUCACAAUUGAUUAUAAUGAUAGGAUUGAGAGUCAAAGGGAUCACAAAAAUAAGACUAGUGUCUGCUAAUAAUAACUGAGAGAAUUAAAAGGGAGAGAACGAUCCAACAUGGGAAGUGGGAUACACAGCAGACUCAUAGAAUGGCAGAUGUCCUAAACAGCACUCAGGCCUCAGAAUCAGCCCUUUAGGCAUUUGGAUAUGGCUGAAAAGCCCAUGAGAGUAUUUUAAGCAUGGAAAGCCAAGACACUCUGGCAAAAACAAAAACAAAAACAAAAACAAAAACAAA